AUCUCACAUCUAGGCUAUCUGAAGUCCAUGGUUUCCCAAACUCCGUCCAUCCCAUAUUCAGGUACUAUGAAGCUGUCAACUGCUAGGGUUAAACUUGCUCCUUCAGCCUAGCUUUCCGACAACGAUGGAAGACAAGGAGAUGUACACAAAAUAAACCUGACGGAGGCUUCAGACCCAGGAAUUGGAAGUUGCAGCCUUUUGACAGCCAUAGCUUUAUUCUUCUAUCAUGAAAAGGAUCCUAAGCAAGGAACACCAGCCGUGACUUGCGUUGCUUCUGGGCAUUUUUUUGUUCUUGUGAUCUUAAGUCCACUUAUUGUGUUUUCU